GACGAACCGUGCGAACGUUGUUCGGAAUCACUGGGCUUAAAGGGCGCGUAGGCGGGCCGCCAAGUCAGGGGGUGAAAUCCUCCCGCUCAACGGGAGAACAGCUUCUGAUACUGGCGGCCUCGAGGGGGGUAGGGGCAUGCGGAACUUCCGGUGGAGCGGUGAAAUGCGUAGAUAUCGGAAGGAACGCCGGUGGCGAAGGCGCCUAUCUGGCCGACAACUGACGCUGAGACUCGAAAGCAUGGGGAGCAAACAGG
rnacentral:rRNA from 1 species